AUGGAGGCUAUCAGGAAUGUUUUGGAAGCAGUAAGGAUACCUUGGUUAAGUGAAAAUGUUUUUCUACUUCUUUUAAAUAGGAUAUUAUUAAUUUUCUUUUUGUUUUGUCUGUAAGGGCACAGACCUAAGCCCACAGACCUGAUCUCCUGCCAACUGACCUUCGUCCACAUAGUGACGGUCCUCACUGGAGGGGAUAUUUGGCUUACAUAUGUAUUUGAGUCACUGAAAUUUGAGAAUGACUUCAAAUGUAAGAUAACUUUUUACAUGAGCAGAGUGAUGAGAGGCCUCUCCAUCUGCAUCACCUGCCUCCUAAGUGUGUUCCAGGCUGUCACUAUCAGUCCCAGUACCUCUUUGUUGGCAAAAUUUAAACAUAAACGUAAAACAUACACAAUCUAUGCUUUCUUCUACCUCUGGUCUUUCAAUUUGUCAUUCAGUAGUAGGUGGAUCUUCCAUGUUGGUGCUUUUACCAAUGUGAGUAAGAACAACCAGAUGAAGGUCACUCAGUCCUGCUCACUCUUCCCCAUGAACUACAUCAUUAGUGCACUGUCUUCAACAGUGACAAUCUUCAGAGAUGUCUUUCUUGUAGGAGUUAUGCUGACCACAAGUGCAUACAUG